rnacentral:rRNA from 1 species
GGGCGCAAGCCUGAUCUAGCCAUGCCGCGUGAGUGAUGAAGGCCUUAGGGUCGUAAAGCUCUUUCGCCAGGGAUGAUAAUGACAGUACCUGGUAAAGAAACCCCGGCUAACUCCGUGCCAGCAGCCGCGGUAAUACGGAGGGGGUUAGCGUUGUUCGGAAUUACUGGGCGUAAAGCGCACGUGGGCGGACUGGAAAGUUGGGGGUGAAAUCCCAGGGCUCAACCCUGGAACUGCCUCCAAAACUAUCAGUCUAGAGUUCGAGAGAGGUGAGUGGAAUUCCGAGUGUAGAGGUGAAAUUCGUAGAUAUUCGGAGGAACACCAGUGGCGAAGGCGGCUCACUGGCUCGAUACUGACGCUGAGGUGCGAAAGUGUGGGGAGCAAACAGGAUUAGAUACCCUGGUAGUCCACACCGUAAACGAUGAAUGCCAGUCGUCGGGUAGCAUGCUAUUCGGUGACACACCUAACGGAUUAAGCAUUCCGCCUGGGGAGUACGGUCGCAAGAUUAAAACUCAAAGGAAUUGACGGGGG